GGCAGUUCUUGGGUGAUGCACCCCGGAAUCAGGCUCCCUCCUCUCUUGUUCCGGGUGUGUCACCCGAGAACCGCA
rfam:Myotis lucifugus cont2.50126, whole genome shotgun sequence.